rnacentral:rRNA from 1 species
UACGGAGGAUGCAAGCGUUAUCCGGAAUGAUUGGGCGUAAAGCGUCCGCAGGUCGCUGUGUAAGUCUGCUGUUAAAGAGUCUAGCUCAACUAGAUACAAGCAGUGGAAACUACACGGCUAGAGUACGUUCGGGGCAGAGGGAAUUCCUGGUGUAGCGGUGAAAUGCGUAGAGAUCAGGAAGAACACCGGUGGCGAAGGCGCUCUGCUAGGCCGUAACUGACACUGAGGGACGAAAGCUAGGGGAGCGAAUGGG